CCUACGGGAGGCAGCAGUGGGGAAUUUUGGACAAUGGGCGCAAGCCUGAUCCAGCAAUGCCGCGUGAGUGAAGAAGGCCUUCGGGUUGUAAAGCUCUUUUGUCAGGGAAGAAACGGUGGUUCCUAAUACGGACUACUAAUGACGGUACCUGAAGAAUAAGCACCGGCUAACUACGUGCCAGCAGCCGCGGUAAUACGUAGGGUGCAAGCGUUAAUCGGAAUUACUGGGCGUAAAGCGUGCGCAGGCGGUUAUAUAAGUCAGAUGUGAAAUCCCCGGGCUCAACCUGGGAACUGCAUUUGAGACUGUAUGGCUAGAGUGUGUCAGAGGGGGGUAGAAUUCCACGUGUAGCAGUGAAAUGCGUAGAUAUGUGGAGGAAUACCGAUGGCGAAGGCAGCCCCCUGGGAUAACACUGACGCUCAUGCACGAAAGCGUGGGGAGCAAACAGGAUUAGAUACCCUGGUAGUCCACGCCCUAAACGAUGUCUACUAGUUGUCGGGACUUAAUUGUCUUGGUAACGCAGCUAACGCGUGAAGUAGACCGCCUGGGGGNGGUACGGUCGCGAGAAGUUAAACGUACGUAAGUAGUAAGUUAGUACGGCGUGAGACGUUAGCCGACGGACGACGACGAGGGAGGAGGG
rnacentral:rRNA from 1 species